CGGGGAGCGUUCGCGCUUCCGCCGGCGACCGGCGCACGGGUGAGUAACACGUAUGGAACCUGCCCGCACGCAGGGGGAUAAUCGGGGGAAACCCCGUCUAAUACCGCGUAACGACCCGGAGGGGCAUCCCUUCGGGUCCAAAGGUUUACCGGCUGCGGAUGGCCGUGCGUCGCAUUAGCUUGUUGGCGGGGUAACGGCCCACCAAGGCGACGGUGCGUAGGGGUUCUGAGAGGAAGGUCCCCCACACUGGUACUGAGACACGGACCAGACUCCUACGGGAGGCAGCAG
rnacentral:rRNA from 1 species